rnacentral:rRNA from 1 species
ACAACCAGGAUGUUGGCUUAGAAGCAGCCACUCAUUAAAAGAGUGCGUAAUAGCUCACUGGUCGAGUGACCCUGCGCCGAAAAUUCAACGGGGCUAAACAAUGUACCGAAGCUUGGGAUUCUAAAGUAAUUUAGAGUGGUAGGAGAGCGUCGAAUAAGGGGUGAAGUCAGAGCGGAAGCGCUGGUGGACUUUAUUCGAGUGAGAAUGCCGGAAUGAGUAGCGAGAAUUAUGUGAGAAUCAUAAUGGCCGAAAAUCUAAGGUUUCCUGAGGAAGGUUCGUCCGCUCAGGGUAAGCCGGGGGCUAAGGCGAGGCGGAGACGCGUAGCCGAUGCACAUACGGUUGAAAUUCCGUAGCCACCGAAAGAUUUAAGUACAGGGACGCUUUAGAAGUGAUGUAGCCGGGCGAUGGUUGACCCGGUCGUAAGGGAUCGAAAAUGAGUAGAGAAGUCAUCAUGGAAAGAGACAAGAAAAGCUGUAUGAAUAUCUUAGGUGCCCGUACCGCAAACCGACACAGGUAGAUAGGAAGAAGAUUCUAAGGCCAACGGGAGAAGGGUUGUUAAGGAACUCGGCAAGUUGACCCCGUAACUUAGGGAUAAGGGGUGCUCAAGUGAUUGAGCCGCAGAGAAUAGGUCCAGGCGACUGUUUAGCAAAAACACAGGUCUCUGCUAAAUCGAAAGAUGACGUAUAGGGGCUGACACCUGCCCGGUGCCGGAAGGUUAAGAGGAGAUGUGAGAGCAUUGAAUUGAAGCCCCGGUAAACGGCGGCCGUAACUAUAACGGUCCUAAGGUAGCGAAAUUCCUUGUCAGGUAAGUUCUGACCCGCACGAAAGGUGUAACGAUCUGGGCACUGUCUCAACAACCCGCCCGGCGAAAUUGUAGUACCGGUGAAGAUGCCGGUUACCCGCGACUAGACGGAAAGACCCCAUGGAGCUUUACUGUAGCCUAAUAUUGGAUUUCGGUAUUUCACGUACAGGAUAGGUGGGAGACUGGGAAGCACAGGCGUCAGCUUGUGUGGAGUCGACCUUGGGAUACCACUCUUGGAGUGCUGGAAUUCUAACCUGCGGCUUUGAAGCAAGUCGGGGGACAUUGUUAGGUGGGCAGUUUGACUGGGGCGGUCGCCUCCUAAAGAGUAACGGAGGCGCUCAAAGGUUCGCUCUGCAUGGAUGGAAACCAUGCGUCAGAGUGUAAACGCAAAAGCGAGCCUAACUGCGAGAAUGACGGUUCGAGCAGUAACGAAAGUUGGAGUUAGUGAUCCGGCGGUAUGUGAAUGGAAAUGCCGUCGCUCAACGGAUAAAAGCUACCCUGGGGAUAACAGGCUGAUCUCCCCCAAGAGUCCACAUCGACGGGGAGG